rnacentral:rRNA from 1 species
UACGGGAGGCAGCAGUGGGGAAUAUUGCACAAUGGGCGCAAGCCUGAUGCAGCCAUGCCGCGUGUAUGAAGAAGGCCUUCGGGUUGUAAAGUACUUUCAGUCGUGAGGAAGGUGUUAAGGUUAAUAACCUUAGCAAUUGACGUUAGCGACAGAAGAAGCACCGGCUAACUCCGUGCCAGCAGCCGCGGUAAUACGGAGGGUGCGAGCGUUAAUCGGAAUUACUGGGCGUAAAGGGCACGCAGGCGGUUAAUUAAGUUGGAUGUGAAAUCCCCGGGCUUAACCUGGGAAUGGCAUUCAAGACUGGUUAGCUAGAGUCUUGUAGAGGGGGUAGAAUUCCAUGUGUAGCGGCGAAAUGCGUAGAGAUGUGGAGGAAUACCGGUGGCGAAGGCGGCCCCUGGACAAAGACUGACGCUCAUGUGCGAAAGCGUGGGGAGCAAACAGGGAUUAGAUACC